CUGCAGGACCAUCAUUUUAUCCACGUUUGGGAAAUUUCCAUUACUGCUGGGGAAAGGGGACUUCUUCUGAGUGAAGACUGGAUCUGACUUGAAGCAAGACAAGAGAAGCAAAGCCUCUGUGUGAACAUCACAGAAUAGAAGAAAAAAGUGAUGUACAAAACAAGGGAAAGAAAUCGGGCUGGUUUCAAACCCUUUAUAAUGCUGGGCUGAGGGGGGACUGUUUCUUCAUCCCACUGCUUUUC